GGAUGCAGUAACUCUGACUGUAAUAAAGUAGCAUAAUUAGUUGUCAUUUAAUUGAUGGAGAGAAUGAAUGGUUACACGAAUUUUUCACUGUCUUAAGAAAAAUUUUUUAAAAUUGAAAUAAUAGUUAAGAUGCUAUUUAAAAUUGUAAGACGAAGAGACCCUAUAGAGCUUUACUAUAAACUUUUUUUUUAAAUAGUAAUAAAAAAUUAUUAAAAUUAGAAAGUUUGGUAGUUUAGUUGGGGCGACUGUUUUUUAAAAAUAACAAAAAUAAGCAAUAUAAUAAAUUUAUUUAUUGUAUAAUUAAACAAUUUAACAAUUACUAUAGUAGGCUAUAAUGACCCGUUAUUAUAACAAACAAUAAAUAACGAUUAAUUAAUAAAAGCUACCUUAGGGAUAACAGGA
rnacentral:rRNA from 1 species